CUGGAAAAAACCAAGCUUGGUUCCUGGAGCUAUCUCAGUAGACGAUGUCCAUGGGACCGAGCGGAUGGCCGGUCCUUUUAAAAAUUUGUGUGUUUCCAUGCAAAUUGAAGAAGAGUCAGAUAUACUCCUUGUGCUCUAGGAGAAAAGGGAACAAGGAAAGGAAAGAGGGGAAAAGGGGAAAAAUGUGCGAAAAAUUCGCAGAAAGCUUGUAGAGGGCGAGGCACGGGCAGCGCGUGAGGGAGUGAUGAAGUACGAGUCUUGCAAGUGGUGGGGCAGCGACAUUUUGUGCGGUUUCGCGUGCCACGGGAAAGUUGAACGUGCUCGGCUAAUGCUGAAGCUGAUGCUGAAGCUGAUGCUGAAACCGCGAUGCCGCCACAUCGCACAUCUGGCAUAGCCCAGCGCCAGGAGGAGGCUCCAGCGGGCGUGGCUGAUUCUGAUGCUGAUGCCGCCGCUGAAGAUGAAAAACUGCUGCGGAUUACGUGGUGCGUGAUCAUGAGAGCAUCCAGAGGAGCAGCACUGGCACGGGCGUGGCAGUGGAUCAAACUUUGCCGCCCCCGAAAAAAACGUGCGGGGCGGAGCGGGGCGGAGCGGAGCGCUUGAUUCCCGUUCCGCCGCUGUUGGGGCGCUGAGAGGAAACUGGCUCGUUUCGAGGAUGCUGCCUACGGCUCCUCUUGUGGUCCAACAUGCGCAAUGAGUGCCACAGAAGUAUGUAGAAGGCACACUUGCCAUGCUUGCCGCUGGCAUCCAAUGAACUUUCCGCAUCGCUGCACUGCCCAGCAUAGAAUGGAGUGCCUGCAACAAUGCGAAUGUGACGUUUUCUGCCUGCUGGCUUUCGCCCGCGACGCUGAUUUCCAUUUGGCAGUUGACCAUUUCCAUUUCCCCAAUGGCCCGACCAAGUGCUGACAUCGCUGGGAGAUGCUUGAAUAGGCCCCACCCCCGUUCCGGAUCCUGGCUAGCUGGGUGGGUGGGUGGCGUAAGUGUGCUUCGUAUUUAACAUUUUUGAUGUGGGCAGUCCUGGUAUCAUGCGGAGCCUAGCAGCGGAGGCGAAACUAAUUUAUUUCCAUUAGUCCUCGGCGAUGGGAUGGGCUACGUGAAAUAUUUCCGCUAAUUGGCAUUUGGCAGGCUACCACGCGCCCAAGCAAGACCUGCGACUACAACUGGCACCGAGACCGAGACCGAGACAGAGACAGAGACCUAAAGCACUCCACCAGAACAUUUUGUAAUUAAUCAUUUUCUGAUUUGGCAUUUGGACUUUUGGGGCCUUGCUCGCUCUCUCUCUCUCGGAAUUUUUCCGGCUAUUUGCCAUCGCUCGGCAUUUUACGCGCCGUUAAAGUUUAAUCGAAAAAGUAUUUUUGUGGCCAAUGAAAAUUCCAAUAACGAAAUGCCAAACAGCGGCGACGAGAGAACAACAACAAA